UACGUAGGGUGCAAGCGUUAAUCGGAAUUACUGGGCGUAAAGCGUGCGCAGGCGGCUUUGCAAGACAGAUGUGAAAUCCCCGGGCUUAACCUGGGAACUGCAUUUGUGACUGCAUGGCUGGAGUGCGGCAGAGGGGGAUGGAAUUCCGCGUGUAGCAGUGAAAUGCGUAGAUAUGCGGAGGAACACCGAUGGCGAAGGCAGCCCCCUGGGCUAACACUGACGCUCAGGCACGAAAGCGUGGGGAGCAAACAGG
rnacentral:rRNA from 1 species